rnacentral:rRNA from 1 species
AGAGUUUGAUCCUGGCUCAGGAUGAACGCUGGCGGCGUGCCUAAUACAUGCAAGUCGAGCGAACCACUUCAGUGGGAAAGCGGCGAACGGGUGAGUAACACGUAGGUGAUCUGCCCAUCAGACGGGGACAACGAUUGGAAACGAUCGCUAAUACCGGAUAGGACGAAAGUUUAAAGAUGCUCCUGGCAUCACUGAUGGAUGAGCCUGCGGCGCAUUAGCUAGUUGGUGGGGUAAAGGCCUACCAAGGCGACGAUGCGUAGCCGACCUGAGAGGGUGAACGGCCACACUGGGACUGAGACACGGCCCAGACUCCUACGGGAGGCAGCAGUAGGGAGUCUUCGGCAAUGGGCGAAAGCCUGACCGAGCAACGCCGCGUGAAUGAAGAAGGCCUUCGGGUUGUAAAAUUCUGUUAUAAGGGAAGAAAGGUGAUAGGAGGAAAUGACUAUCAAUUGACGGUACCUUAUGAGAAAGCCACGGCUAACUACGUG